AUUGAACGCUGGCGGCAUGCCUUACACAUGCAAGUCGAACGGUAACGGGCCUUUGGGUGCCGACGAGUGGCGAACGGGUGAGUAAUGUAUCGGAACGUACCUUUCAGUGGGGGAUAACGUAGCGAAAGUUACGCUAAUACCGCAUAUUCUGUGCGCAGGAAAGCAGGGGAUCGCAAGACCUUGCGCUGAUUGAGCGGCCGAUAGCAGAUUAGCUAGUUGGUGAGGUAAAGGCUCACCAAGGCGACGAUCUGUAGCGGGUCUGAGAGGAUGAUCCGCCACACUGGAACUGAGACACGGUCCAGACUCCUACGGGAGGCAGCAGUGGGGAAUUUUGGACAAUGGGGGCAACCCUGAUCCAGCCAUGCCGCGUGAGUGAAGAAGGCCUUCGGGUUGUAAAGCUCUUUCGGCCGGGAAGAAAUCGUAUCAGCUAAUACCUGGUGCGGAUGACGGUACCGGCAUAAGAAGCACCGGCUAACUACGUGCCAGCCGCCGCGGUAACAC
rnacentral:rRNA from 1 species